UACGAAGGGGGCUAGCGUUGUUCGGAAUUACUGGGCGUAAAGCGCACGUAGGCGGAUCCUUAAGUCAGGGGUGAAAUCCCGAGGCUCAACCUCGGAACUGCCUUUGAUACUGGGGAUAUCGAGUCCGGGAGAGGUGAGUGGAACUGCGAGUGUAGAGGUGAAAUUCGUAGAUAUUCGGAAGAACACCAGUGGCGAAGGCGACUUACUGGACGAUUGUUGACGCUGAGGUGCGAAAGCGUGGGGAGCAAACAGG
rnacentral:rRNA from 1 species